rnacentral:tRNA from 1 species
GUGGAAUUUAGCUCAGUUGGCUAGAGCGCUUGCAUGGCAUGCAAGAGGUCACCGGUUCGACUCCGGUAUUCUCCACCA